AACAAGGCGUACCUGCGGACCUGCGGAAGGAUCAUUAACGAGUGUAACCUGCCCUUUUAAAAAAUGGGUGGUACCUCCCGUCCUUUGCGGGCCCCCUUCUUUUAUUAAGGGGGGGGCUUUUAAGACUUUCUGCUUCGGCGGGGUUAUUCCCGCCGGAACACCUUCAAAAAACUCUUGAUCAAAAAACUGUUCAGUCCGAGAAUUUUUGAAAAUUAAAACAAAACUUUUAACAACGGAUCU
rnacentral:misc_RNA from 1 species